CCUGAAAGGGCACCAGCCCUCCGAGAGUUGCCUGAGAUCAUAUUUGCUGGUGUCUGUUUCUCACCUGGGCCUUGGCAGUGGCCUAACUUCAAUCACAGACCUCUCCCUGGGGCUCCGUGGACACAGGUGCUACACUGGGGACACAGCCCUGCCUGCUGAGUCAUGGGGGACCGGGGGCCAGCCUGUCCGGAAGGGAUGCACGGGGAGUGUUGUCUGCUUUCUGCAUCUGAAUGAACAUCUGGCAGAAACUCUCAGCCCAGAGCAUCUAUUUGUUUUUAGAGUGUGGCCGCUAUUUUUCUGACAAUGCAACUAGUCAGCUUGAGAGCCUCCUGGCCCCUCAUCAGUGGAAAAGGACCCAGAGUGUCUUCCUGGUACUUUUUUCUGUCACCAUCGGGGCCUCUGAGCAGUUCCUGGUGGAGCAGUGGUGGCUGGAGGUAUUUUAGUGUCACCUGAUUCCCAGUGACAGAAGGAAAGCCAGGAGCCCACCUCAUGGGGGCGCAGUUCCUCAGGCUGUGUCCCCAGUGACAAAAUAUAAAGCACACAUGAGACGUGCUGGGGGCCUGGACAGGCCUGGAGGGGCCGGCCUGCCUGGUGCUGCUGCGCUGCUGAGCCCCUCCAAGUGGGAAGGGCUUAUCUGUCUUAGUCCUGGCCGCUGUGUCACUUCAAAUGGGACUUAAAAGCCACGCUCUAAGUGGAUUAGGCCUGGAGAUUAGCGAGAAUAUCCUGUGCUGAAAGGCCUGCGUUUCACUCUCUCCUGAGACCCCCAUGGCCCAUAUUUCCAGUGCGUUCACAGCAGCUGCCAAGCAGGCGAACCCGUUGCUGAGAGGGGGUGGGGAGAGGCUGUCCUUUCACGCUGCUGCUUUGUCCCCUCGCUCUGCUCCCCCACAGACCUGACCCAUCCCCGUGCCUGGGGCUCAACACCACCCCCCACCAACAAGCUGAUGCGUUUCCUGGACCAUUGCCAGGCAGGUCAAGACGCUGGAAAGCAGGGCCAAGCGGAUCUCUGGAAACGCGAAGUCACUUAGUGCAAAGCCUAGAGGGACUCGUCCACGCUGGGAUGUCCUGCUGUUGGUCACUUAUCUGGAUGUAUGUGGUGAAGGGGGAACAGCGGCCCCCAGGAGCUCUGAGGAUCUCAUUUCCAGGGGCCUCUGUCCUGGCAAAACCCAGCCAGGGACAGAAGGGGCCCUUCUCGGCUCAGAGCUUGGACACGCAGUUGCUCUCAGAUGCCAAGGGACAGCCACCAUUCCCCAAGGGGCAUCUGCUUUAGCCGUGGCCAUGGCAGUGGUUGCUUUCACAGCUUCUGCUAGAAGGGCAUGGAAGGCUGGGCUACAGGCCUCCCUCGGUGCCUGAGGGAUUUCGUCUUCAGGAAUUUUCCCUGCAGUUCAGUCCUGUGUCUUCACAGCAACCCUUGAGCCACAGGAAGUUGGCUCCUUGGCGCCAAGAGAUCUUGAAACUGGCUGAGGAUCGCUGCUAACAGGUGGCAGAGCAAGGGUUCAAACCCAGAGUUUUCUGUUUACCCAGGACUGACUGGCUGCUGUGGUGCCAGCGCAGCCCGCUUACGAGGGUGUGGAUUUUCCACUUGGUUGUGGAAUCUGGGCUCCCUCUUCCACGAUCGCCUCUGCUGUGGCACCUGCCCCGCAGAGGAUGGAGGGGGGCCGGGACCACACGUCACAGCCGGCAGGGGGGUGUGCUGGCUCCUUUGCAGCUCCCUCUCUGCGCAAGCGUCUGGGGCUGCGUGAAAUUAACUGCAGCCAGAGUCUUGGGGGACCCUGUAGAGAGGACAAAACCUAUUUCCCCAGCUUCGUCCAGUCCAAUUGCCGCUGGAGGUAGGUGGGCAGAUAGUGGAUGAUGGAAAAAGCUUCAGAGGUUUCUUUCUAGGAAGUCCUUAGGCCUCCCAGUGGGAGCUGGAAGAAGCCCUGACAGUCAGAAGUUAGAACUGCUUAACAUAAAAGUGCAGAGGUCCAAGUUGAGUACAUCGUCAUUUCACAGUGCCGUGGAAGGGAGUAGGUACUCUGACCAAUUUUCAAAGAAUUAAAAUACUAUAAACAAAUUCUUUAACAAAAUGCUACAGAACGCAAUCAUUCAGAAACACAAAUUGAUGUGAAGGUUUUCCUAGAGGGAGUGACCUCUGAUCUGAGUUUUAAACCUGAACGAGAGUUAGGUGGUCAGAGGAGGACUGGGGGCGGGGAGCACCUUCCAGACAGAGGGAAAAGGAAUGCAGGUGAGGACCGGCCCUGAGGAGGAGGAAGCAGAGCCCAGUCUGGUUCCUGGAGUGGGAACCGGGAGGGGGGCAGGGUGGGGCGGGUGACAACAUCAGCUUGGUUCCAUUAGUCACCCCUGGGAGCUUUACAAAUGGACCAGAGUUCAGGUCCCAUGACAGAAGGUCCUGAUUUAACCGGACUGGGUCCUGGCUGUGUUGUCUGUUUCGGAAGCUGGGUGACUGAUGUGCGGCUGUAGGGGUGGGGGCACCAAAGAGCCUUCAUAAAGGCCUGGCUCAGAGGCUCUGUGACAGGGAAGGGCCUUCCUUCACAAGUCUGCAGGACUAGCAACAGAGAAACAGGAGAUUCAUGUUGGAAAGGGUGGUCCACACCAGAGACGGUGAGGGCCUGUGCUGGGGCAGCAGCUUUAGAUGGGAGGAAGGGUUCUCAGGAGGUAAUGUCAGCAGGAGCCAAUGAUGCCGAGGGUGUGAAAAUGAGGGUUCCAGGUGGGCCCCCCUGCUGGGACCAUUGGAUCCAGCAGCAAAUGCCUGCAUUUCAGGUAAACAAGGAGUAUAUAUGGCUUUUAGUAUAAGUGUAUACCAUGCAAUAUUUGAAACAAACUUAGAAAUAUAUACAUUUUCUAAAUCUGAUUGUCUUUGAUCCUGGGCUUAAGGUGGAAACAGUGACCAAACAGGACGCAGAAGGAAAAGCUUUGCAGUUGUGUUGGUGAUGAAUCUAGGUCUUGAUAAUAAUCGUCGGGGUGGGGGGUGGGGGUCCUGUCCAGUUGGACUUUGGAUAAACGUGUCUGCAGUUGGCAGAGUUCUCCAGGCUGAAGUUGCCUGUGCAUUUUUGUAGAAGCUGCAACAGUGGAAUGUGGAUGGAAUUUCUCAGGCUUACUAGGUAAAAGGAGGAUGUGGUCGCUCAGAUGGAACCCGGGUUUCUCAAAGUCGUUUGCUUCUCAGAGCUUCUGUUCCCUACCUGUGAUGUGGAGAAUAAUAAAGCCUGUGUUGGAUACUUGUCCCCAUGGGUGACGCCGUGUGAAGGGCUUCGGCCUCUUGCCUGGUCUUUACAUUAUCAACAUUACCCUCAUUGUGAUUAGUGUCGCUUAACUGGAUCGUACAAACCAGUCAUCACAGAUGGACCAGUAUCUAUAAAAACGAGUACUUCAAACUAUUAGCAAAAUAAUAUUCUUAUCAAGAAACAAGUGCAGCGAAAAUAACCACAAAACCCCAAACUCUGAAUAAUUUUAAGGAGUUCACAUAGUAGGAGAAAUCAGAGGGAUAAUUCUCUGUUACGAUAAUCUCAAUUUUUAUUAAUUAUAACCUCCAAAGUAAAGAAAGGAAGUUUACAGCCCCCAACACACUCCACCAACAGUUUUCUUUAGCAAAGAGCUUCUUUUCUUUUUAUUUAUCCUUUCCAGGAAGUAAAUGUUUAAAGAUAUAAGUAAUACUCAUUUUCUAUAGCAGGAGAAAGAAUGUUAAUUGUCUGAAUUGGCCCACAAAUGUAUACGGAUGGGGCAUAUGCACACAGACACGGACACACAUGUGCACACACAGAGAUACACGUGUGCACACACACAGACACAUGCACACAGACACCCACACACACCUGAGCUCUCUGCACAUUUUGUCUGGACACGUUAUCCACACAAUGAGUCACUGUUUGUUCUGUACAUACAGAAGGAAGCAGGACCACCAGGGCUUUUUAAUCUUGUACCAAAGGUGGGAAACUAAUGCCUUGAUGAAAAGAAAAGGGAACAUAGAAAUGUUUGGAAAAAACUCAAAAAACUAAUUCCUCAAAGGACUCCAUUUAGCUCAUCUUGAAUAGUGUAAACAGCUUUAGAGAAUCUAUAUUGGCACAUAUGUGCAAACACUAUUUCAAGCUUCUGUUUGCUGUACAUCUUCUGUUUGUAUCCCAGUGGUGUCAGAGUGGUGUCCUGACCUGUCCCAUCUGUCAGUGACAUUGCCAGAGUGUGGAAGGGACCUCUCAGUGUCUUGCUCUACUGUAGCCAAUUACUACCAGGUAAUAAAGAAGCAUAAGACUC
ensembl:lncRNA